CAUUACUAUAAAUGAAGUCAGUGUUUUUAGGAAGAAUUGUCUAAAUUUAGUGUUAAUUAAAUUUAAUUAUAAUGGGAGGCACGUGUUGUGACGGAAGUGAUGAUGAUGCUCAGUAACUGUAGCAACGCCAAAGUUUCGUCAACGGUUAACUCUGCUCAGCUUGACCCAGGACGGCAGAUGACGACGCUCAGAUGAAGACAAGCAGGGUAUAAAGUGAAAUCAAACCAACUGAGUGUUUUGCAACGAUGUCUGCUGAAUUACCCAUGAAAAGAACACACCAGAGCAAAGACUCAUUUCAGUCAGUUCAGUCUCCUGCACCUAUCUCACCCACUUCUGGAAUCAGUGGGGUGGAGCACCAAGACAACAGACUGCCCUCUCUAGGCUGUCAGGGUGAACCAGUGGUGGGCAACACUCACCCUGACCUUUCCUCUCACCUGAGCCCUGAGGAUGCUAUCCCAAGUGGACCCUACCAGCCAACUGCUGCCAACUGGGAUGCCUUUCACACUGCGAAUCAGACUGCUCAACAAGCACCAGAUCAUCCAUGUGAAGUGGUUCAGCAGCAAAUUGAGCAGAUCCACAAGGUGCUACAGGAGCACUGUAGCCUGCUGGCACUACUAGGAACAGUCUCUCUUGAAGGUUUGAUAUUUCCUGCCUGUGUGCCCAUGCAAUGGAUUGGCUUGUUGCCCGUGCUGACUGCCACAAGCUCUGAGAAGCUCCCAGUUUUCCCAAUGCCAUCUCCUCCAUCAGAUGGAAGGAGGCGUGAGGAUCGUCCUGCCCCCACAUGUCCCAGCCAGGAUAUAUUUAGAUCCAAAGAAGAGACAGCACAGCAAAGGCACUCACCUACCACCACAGGGACUCACCAGACUGUGCACAGAGAUGGAUACCAGGACCCAGUCAGCCUCUCUGCUGACCCUGAAGACAGGCUGAUCAGAUCUGCUUUGAGGGAGGAAGAGACCUUCGGGGAACGUGUAGAGGAGCAUCUGAAAGUGCAUGAAAUCUCUGAGCCAAAACAGCUGCAGAACCGCAGUGGGAUGACGACAGAGAGACGUCGCUACAUGCAGGAGGGUGAGGGCAUUUCCAGGAUGGUCAGAAAUAAUUUGAAGGUCACUGAUCAGCAGGAGGUCCGGAGGAGGGCUUCCCUUAGCCUGCAGCAGCCCAGCAGGAAGUUAACCUCCGACAUCCAGAGACGCUCCUCUGCCCCUUCUACGGUCUUUAAAGAUGACAGAAUGCAGCUUGAAACCUUCCAGUCUCUGAACUUUCAGCCUGAGCAUAGCCUACAGUUUGGGACUUUACAAGACCUUAGUUCUGGUUCAUGUAAUUCUCAGACACCAGAGAUCCAACCUCAGGCUGAUGUCUUUUCUCUGGUCUGCGGCCAAGAGCAAACUUACGCCAACAAUCCUUUCAUGCCCCAACCUGAAACUCCACCUUUGGAAGGACAACAGAUCACUGAUACUCCUGCAGUAAUUGACAGGGAAGAGGAACUUAGACAGCUGCAUGAAGGAAAGUCAAGAGAAAAAUUCCAUUUGGAAGAAAAAGGAAACAUUGAUAACCCUCAUUUAAGAAAGACAGAAUGCAGAAUUAAUCCAUCACUGUCUGAGCCGACACCCUCCGUUGGCAAGUCUUUCAGAGAAAAGAGGUUGAAGCACCAAGAAAUGGAAAACAUGGGUGAAACUGCAGAAAAUAUUGUUGAGGAAGAAGAGGUGAAAGGUCUGUUUGAAUUCACAGCACCUCAUAGACAAAUGGCUGUGAGCUCAUGUAGUGCCACCUCAGACUAUCUAUGGGAACAACCCUUGCAGCAGAACAACAUACAUUUCAACAUUUCCCCCUGUUUUAGGGACAACAGAGUGUCCCCCCGGACCGGGAGAAAUCAGGAAGUUAUUGUUAGUUUUAAGACUGUGAGCGACCACAUGGAGAGAGUCUCAAGCUUUAACAUGGAAACUCUAUCCACAGGCUGUGAUGAAACAAAAACACAUUUUCAUCUCUGCCAGUGCAACAAGUCGAGACCAGGAAGCAGCGCAGGCUCAAACUUGGUCAAAGGUCAGAAACAAGUUAGGACAACAGCAGCAUUUUGUCUUUGUGUGCCAAGCAACACAAGUCAAGUCCCGACACCUCUGGAGCUCAGUACAUUUCCCAUGCAUUCCAAUAAAAGAAGCACCACUGAUAGUGGUAGUGGCAGUGAGGAUGACAAUAACACACCAUCCCAGUGUCACCAGUUUCCCAAGCUCCCAUCCCCUCCUCCCUGCCUCGGCCUCCAGGAUUCACAUUUAAACCUUUCAGAGGAUGAUUAUGGCAGCAAGGCUGAUGAGGAAUGGAUGUUCCCGGGGAGCCAAAAACAGGACCAGUGUCUUGGAUCUGGAUUAGGGCCCCAUCAGCAGUCCUCUUCCUCCAUCUCCAACAGAGAUGGUAAAGCUCAGGGUGAUUCUAAUGGAGGUCAGAAAAGGAUGACUAUACGGUCACUGAGACCAGAAAGAAAAUCUGAUGGUACAGAUGUAACAAAAAUGGCACAAACAUCAAGAGGACUUCUAAGAGAAAAACUAGAUCAGAGUGAUGAACUGAAGAGGCCCUGCAGAGGCGAUGACGUCCUCUUGGACACAGAAGCGAAUCACCACAUGAGAAAUCAACACAGUCUGCACAAACUGGAAACCAGUGAAGUCCAGGCCCUCAGGCAGCAGAUGGAGGUGUUUCAUCAGCAGUUCAAACAGAAAGAGAGUGAUUGGUCCGCAGUUCGACACCAGCUGGAGGAGCUGAUCAGCGAGUAUGCUGAGCUGAGGAAGACACUAAAAGUUAUGCCACAGUGCCACUCAGUGGCCAAUCAAUGUACUGCACAAACGCAAACUGAACACCUGGAGGGACAGAUGGAGACGGAGCAGCUUCUCUCUAACGGGUGCAGCGUGGUGACUCUCAGUAACGGGACAAGGAAAGUUACCUCUGCAGACCAGAAGACAAAAACAGUCACAUUCUUCAAUGGAGACAUCAAGCACAUUUUGGAAGAUGGGAAAGUGGUUUAUUACUACGCUGGUUCACAGACAACCCAUACCACCCACCCAAGUGGUCUGGAGGUCCUUCACUUCCCCAACAAGCAGAUUGAGAAGCGACACCCUGGGGGGAAGAGAGAGAUCUUAUUUCCAGACCAGACCAUCAAGUAUUUGGAGCCUGACGGCAGCGAGAGGACAGUCUACUCUGAUGGCACCAUCGUUCAGCGUUCACCGUAAGACUGAAGUCGGCGCUUUGUUUUAAGAUCAGCUUCAGGGUGUCUGCAGGGUCAGAAAGCCAGUGGAACCCAGGAAGACUAGACUGUCGUUGAGGUGGCAGCUAACAGGUCAGGUGAAAAGAUGGUCGAAUUCCCCAAUGGUCAGAGAGAGAUCCACACCUCCCAGUACAAGAGAAGAGAGUAUCCUGAUGGGACAGUUAAGACCAUCUACCCCAAUGGACGAC